rnacentral:rRNA from 1 species
GAUGAACGCUGGCGGCGUGCCUAAUACAUGCAAGUCGAGCGAACGGACGAGAAGCUUGCUUCUCUGAUGUUAGCGGCGGACGGGUGAGUAACACGUGGAUAACCUACCUAUAAGACUGGGAUAACUUCGGGAAACCGGAGCUAAUACCGGAUAAUAUUUUGAACCGCAUGGUUCAAAAGUGAAAGACGGUCUUGCUGUCACUUAUCGAUGGAUCCGCGCUGCAUUAGCUAGUUGGUAAGGUAACGGCUUACCAAGGCAACGAUGCAUAGCCGACCUGAGAGGGUGAUCGGCCACACUGGAACUGAGACACGGUCCAGACUCCUACGGGAGGCAGCAGUAGGGAAUCUUCCGCAAUGGGCGAAAGCCUGACGGAGCAACGCCGCGUGAGUGAUGAAGGUCUUCGGAUCGUAAAACUCUGUUAUUAGGGAAGAACAUAUGUGUAAGUAACUGUGCACAUCUUGACGGUACCUAAUCAGAAAGCCACGGCUAACUACGU